rnacentral:piRNA from 1 species
UAUAGCAAUUGUGAAGGUGUC